GACCAAAGAGUCCCGCCCAGCCUCAGGCCCCGCCCAGCCCCCUAGAUCCCGCCCAGCCCCGCUAGGCCCCGCCCAAUUCCCCGGUCCUUCCCAGCUCCGCCAGGUCCUGCUAUCUCCGCGGUCUUGCUGUGCCCAGUGCUGGCCCCUCGGGGCUCCUGGUUUUUCGUUCCUGCUCGUGAGACACCGCGCUGCGCUUAGCAAGAGCUCGCUAAGCGUUGACAUUGCGCCAGGGCUGCGGCGCACACUGGAGGACCCUCCUGCAAACCCGAGGCCCGGGUGAGGACCCUCCUGCAAACCCACGGCUCUGGAGGUCCUCUGCCGCGGGCCGGCUGACGUACUCGUGAGACAGAACCAGCACCAACAAAACCCUCGGAGUGCGCCAACGGGACAGGGCCGUUUGCCACGCCUCCCUCAGUGACACCCAGGGACUCCGACUCGGAGAGACCAGAGCUGACGCCCGAAGUCCUUGACGCUUACAGGACCUGUGAGCUGAAGAGGACAGGCAGGAGAUUAGCCUACACAUUGAAACUUCCCGUGCAACUCGAGAGCUUGGAGAGCCGACUUCAGAUGCAAACGACAGGCCAGGAAAGGCAUUUUGGUGCAGGGUUUACACACUGAGCACGUUUGAAGUGCCCACGAAACCAUCUGCCAGAGCAGCGUGCCCAGUGGGAAGUGGGUGCAGCGCGCGCUAGGCUAGGGAGGCUUCAGAACCCAGAGCCGCGCUCACGAGCAGGGGUCUCAGGCUGCUCGCCACGUGGCCGGAUCUCAGCAGGUCCCCCUGCAACGAGAACCCCUGCGCGGCCUCUCCAGAGGACAUUCUGGCAACGUGGGUCGAGGUCGUGGUGACCUGCAGUCCUUCCAGCGGAAGAGCAGGGCUGAAGGAGACGGCGGCAGGGAGUGCGAAGACCUCAGCCGAGGAGCCGCACCGGAGCACCCCGUCAGUCGUGAAAAGCCGCGAGGACGUGGCUGCCCCGCCUGGCUGAAGGAUGACCAGAGCCUCAACGGGAAGUGUGUGCCGUCACCACCACGGGGCCGCCAGGGACCCCCUCUCCGGCCUGCGCAAGUGCUCGCGGUGCGCUUUCAAGUGAAAAUCAGUGUGUAAGAACCAACUGCCUCUGCGUGAAUGAGCCAGGCACCGGGUAAAACGUCCCAUUAUUUCAAGGCUCCUGUCGGGCCUGUGCCAAAUGA